rnacentral:rRNA from 1 species
UACGUAGGGCGCAAGCGUUGUCCGGAAUUAUUGGGCGUAAAGAGCUCGUAGGCGGUUUGUCGCGUCUGCUGUGAAAACCCGGGGCUCAACCCCGGGCCUGCAGUCGAUACGGGCGAGCUAGAGUUCGGCAGGGGAGACUGGAAUUCCUGGUGUAGCGGUGAAAUGCGCAGAUAUCAGGAGGAACACCGGUGGCGAAGGCGGGUCUCUGGGCCGAUACUGACGCUGAGGAGCGAAAGCGUGGGGAGCGAACAGG